rnacentral:tRNA from 1 species
AUCUAGAAGGCACAGUGGAUAGAGUGCCAGCAUUGGAAUCUGGAAGACAGAAGUUCAAAUCUUUCUUUAGACA